GUGAAAACGCAGCGAAAUGCGAUACGUAAUGUGAAUUGCAAAUUCAGUGAAUCAUCGAGUCUUUGAACGCACAUUGCGCCCCCUGGUAUUCCGGGGGGCAUGCCUGUCCGAGCGUCAUUGCUGCCCUCAAGCACGGCUUGUGUGUUGGGCCCCGUCCUCCGAUCCCGGGGGACGGGCCCGAAAGGCAGCGGCGGCACCGCGUCCGGUCCUCGAGCGUAUGGGGCUUUGUCACCCGCUCUGUAGGCCCGGCCGGCGCUUGCCGAUCAACCCAAAUUUUUAUCCAGGUUGACCUCGGAUCAGGUAGGGAUACCCGCUGAACUUAAGCAUAUCAAUAAGCGGAGGA
rnacentral:misc_RNA from 1 species